UCAAAAUUGAAAUAAUUUACUUCAUCUCAGUCCCAAGUUACUGAACCCCAUAUCCUCACCCUCACACUCACAAAUACCAUACACCACACCCUCACGUAAACCACUCAGCAAUAUCGUCAUCAGCAUUUUCACCGAAACAGUCUCCCUAAACCAAACCCGCCGAUAUUCAUUCUUCCUCUUCCGUAGCCACAAUCGACAAAAAUGCAGCACCUCCACCACCAAACCAGAUCCGGCUGCUUCCCAAUCUCAUGAUCUUUUCUCGCAUUUCAUCGUUCCCAAUCAAAGCAGAAUAGUUAUCUUGCGUCCAGGUGGCAGUUGCAGCUCUUCCAUUGAAGACCUAUUUUGCCCUUUACCAGAAAUUGUCGAUCUCUCCUCUAUUACUGGUUUGGAUUUUUUGUGGCAUUGGGUAAAAUUUCAGUCCAUUAUACCUUCUUUGAUCUCUUGUACCGAAUUGAUUAUUUGAUUUGGAUAAUUAGUUUAUUGUUUCAAGAGUUCUAUUGGUAAAUUUCUAUUUUGUUAACCAAAAUAGGUUGCCUAUAGCUCGAUAUUAACCUGCUGUGAAUCUUGCUUUAUUCAUCUUGCCUCUGCUGUCGUGUUUGAAAUGUUUAAAAUAUAUCUAAUUUAUUUUUAGGUUGAGGUUUGAGGUCUUGGUACAGUUAGAUUUGAGUUUUGGCCCCCUAGGAUAUCCUUAUAAAGAAAAACCGGUAAUUUUGAGUCAAUUUUUGUUUUCUUAUCAUGUACUCUAUUAUAGCAACAACUGGCUAAGGUUGCCAAGAACUAAGACCAGCUUAAGAUUCUAAAUUUAAGCUUUUGAGAGUUUUCUUUGCAAAAUUAAAUAAUGAUAUAUAUAUAUACACACACACAUUACUGACUAAUAUAUAUUACUUUUUAAAUUAAAUAAUAUAUAUCCUAGCCAUUGCAUAAAAGAUGAAACAAAAGGGAUUGGAUACUUGUUAUUAAUGAAAGGUGUAAGCUGGUAUAUACCAACUAUUACCUCAGCUGUUAUUUCAUCUAUGUGCUAUUAAUUGGAUGUAACUGAUAGAAUUAAGCUACUAAUUUGAAAGCAUUGGACUGUAAAGCCAUGCAUUGAAACUGGAUAAAAAUAUGCUUUUUGCACCUACAAAUGCUACACCAGCAUGUUAAAUUAUCAUACAUAAUUGUUCAUAUUUUUUAUUUUAUUAAUUAUUAUUCAUUUAUAUUAUUUUUGUGGGAGGAUGAUGGAAAAGUAAAUCAAUAAUAAAUUUUAUCGAACUAUUGGAAAUGAACUUUGAUCCUGCUGCGUGGCGCGGGUGAAAUGGCUUGUGUGGAAGGAAAAUGGGGGUAAAAGGGGUAAAAAAGUAGUCUUUUGUUAUAAUACAUUUUAGGUGAAAAUUGGGGUGAAAAUAUAAUACAAUUUGAGAGAGAGAGAAAGAGAGUUUCAAGCUAUUUGAUUGAUUAUAAAAAUGCUUACUGUUUAACUUACUGGUUUGAUUUCCAUGGCUUAAUGAUUUCUUUGCUUAACUUUAAUUUCAAGUGCAGUAUAUCACAGGCAUUCAUUUAAAUCUUGAUGUUUCAAAGUAGAUGAGAAUACUUUACUUGGACAGGCUUAACUCAUAUGCAGCUUUGCAGCUAAUGAAAAAUGCAUCACAGCAAACAAAGGGGUCAAGAAAGCCAACUCACGUGGAUGAGACUCAUUUGUAUUAUAAGGCAAUUGGUGGGUAUAAGAAGAAUCGAGUAUAUGGAUUAGGCUCACUAGUAUAUACAUAUUUCCAUUUAAGAUUAUCUAUGUCUAGAUCUUACUCCUCAGCACCAUAGAAAGAGCAAACUCAGGAUGAUUAUGAAAAUUCGAGGCAGUAUAUUGAGCGCAUUGAGACUGAAAAGAAUACCUUACAAAUAGAAGUGAAGCAGCCGAAGGAUCUCGUUGUAAACCUUAUUUCUCAACAGAGUACAUCACAUCAAGAUCAAUUAGGUCUUCAUGCAACAUAUACUUUACAGCCUCUGCACGGUGUAGUAGCUCCUUCAUUGGGUCAUUCUCAGCAUGCCUCAAAUGAAGAUGGAUCAGAUGAGAAUAUCGAUGAUCUCUGGUGAUUACUUAUAGGUUAUCUUGUUCUAUACAUUUUGAGUUGUUACUUAGUUUGACUUUUGCUAUAAAAAUUUACUUUUAGUUAUAUAUUUUAUUUUAUACUUAGAUUAUUUAUGUUUA